UUAAGCGACUAAGCGUACACGGUGGAUGCCCUGGCAGUCAGAGGCGAUGAAGGACGUGCUAAUCUGCGAUAAGCGUCGGUAAGGUGAUAUGAACCGUUAUAACCGGCGAUUUCCGAAUGGGGAAACCCAGUGUGAUUCGUCACACUAUCAUUAACUGAAUCCAUAGGUUAAUGAGGCGAACCGGGGGGAACUGAAACAUCUAAGUACCCCGAGGAAAAGAAAUCAACCGAGAUUCCCCCAGUAGCGGCGAGCGAACGGGGAGGAGCCCAGAGCCUGAAUCAGUGUGUGUGUUAGUGGAAGCGUCUGGAAAGGCGCGCGAUACAGGGUGACAGCCCCGUACACAAAAAUGCACAUGCUGUGAGCUCGAUGAGUAGGGCGGGACACGUGGUAUCCUGUCUGAAUAUGGGGGGGACCAUCCUCCAAGGCUAAAUACUCCUGACUGACCGAUAGUGAACCAGUACCGUGAGGGAAAGGCGAAAAGAACCCCGGCGAGGGGAGUGAAAAAGAACCUGAAACCGUGUACGUACAAGCAGUGGGAGCACAGAGCAAUCUGUGUGACUGCGUACCUUUUGUAUAAUGGGUCAGCGACUUAUAUUCUGUAGCAAGGUUAACCGAAUAGGGGAGCCGAAGGGAAACCGAGUCUUAACCGGGCGUUAAGUUGCAGGGUAUAGACCCGAAACCCGGUGAUCUAGCCAUGGGCAGGUUGAAGGUUGGGUAACACUAACUGGAGGACCGAACCGACUAAUGUUGAAAAAUUAGCGGAUGACUUGUGGCUGGGGGUGAAAGGCCAAUCAAACCGGGAGAUAGCUGGUUCUCCCCGAAAGCUAUUUAGGUAGCGCCUCGUGAAUUCAUCUCCGGGGGUAGAGCACUGUUUCGGCAAGGGGGUCAUCCCGACUUACCAACCCGAUGCAAACUGCGAAUACCGGAGAAUGUUAUCACGGGAGACACACGGCGGGUGCUAACGUCCGUCGUGAAGAGGGAAACAACCCAGACCGCCAGCUAAGGUCCCAAAGUCAUGGUUAAGUGGGAAACGAUGUGGGAAGGCCCAGACAGCCAGGAUGUUGGCUUAGAAGCAGCCAUCAUUUAAAGAAAGCGUAAUAGCUCACUGGUCGAGUCGGCCUGCGCGGAAGAUGUAACGGGGCUAAACCAUGCACCGAAGCUGCGGCAGCGACACUGUGUGUUGUUGGGUAGGGGAGCGUUCUGUAAGCCUGUGAAGGUGUGCUGUGAGGCAUGCUGGAGGUAUCAGAAGUGCGAAUGCUGACAUAAGUAACGAUAAAGCGGGUGAAAAGCCCGCUCGCCGGAAGACCAAGGGUUCCUGUCCAACGUUAAUCGGGGCAGGGUGAGUCGACCCCUAAGGCGAGGCCGAAAGGCGUAGUCGAUGGGAAACAGGUUAAUAUUCCUGUACUUGGUGUUACUGCGAAGGGGGGACGGAGAAGGCUAUGUUGGCCGGGCGACGGUUGUCCCGGUUUAAGCGUGUAGGCUGGUUUUCCAGGCAAAUCCGGAAAAUCAAGGCUGAGGCGUGAUGACGAGGCACUACGGUGCUGAAGCAACAAAUGCCCUGCUUCCAGGAAAAGCCUCUAAGCAUCAGGUAACAUCAAAUCGUACCCCAAACCGACACAGGUGGUCAGGUAGAGAAUACCAAGGCGCUUGAGAGAACUCGGGUGAAGGAACUAGGCAAAAUGGUGCCGUAACUUCGGGAGAAGGCACGCUGAUAUGUAGGUGAAGUCCCUCGCGGAUGGAGCUGAAAUCAGUCGAAGAUACCAGCUGGCUGCAACUGUUUAUUAAAAACACAGCACUGUGCAAACACGAAAGUGGACGUAUACGGUGUGACGCCUGCCCGGUGCCGGAAGGUUAAUUGAUGGGGUCAGCGCAAGCGAAGCUCUUGAUCGAAGCCCCGGUAAACGGCGGCCGUAACUAUAACGGUCCUAAGGUAGCGAAAUUCCUUGUCGGGUAAGUUCCGACCUGCACGAAUGGCGUAAUGAUGGCCAGGCUGUCUCCACCCGAGACUCAGUGAAAUUGAACUCGCUGUGAAGAUGCAGUGUACCCGCGGCAAGACGGAAAGACCCCGUGAACCUUUACUAUAGCUUGACACUGAACAUUGAGCCUUGAUGUGUAGGAUAGGUGGGAGGCUUUGAAGUGUGGACGCCAGUCUGCAUGGAGCCGACCUUGAAAUACCACCCUUUAAUGUUUGAUGUUCUAACGUGGACCCGUGAUCCGGGUUGCGGACAGUGUCUGGUGGGUAGUUUGACUGGGGCGGUCUCCUCCUAAAGAGUAACGGAGGAGCACGAAGGUUGGCUAAUCCUGGUCGGACAUCAGGAGGUUAGUGCAAUGGCAUAAGCCAGCUUGACUGCGAGCGUGACGGCGCGAGCAGGUGCGAAAGCAGGUCAUAGUGAUCCGGUGGUUCUGAAUGGAAGGGCCAUCGCUCAACGGAUAAAAGGUACUCCGGGGAUAACAGGCUGAUACCGCCCAAGAGUUCAUAUCGACGGCGGUGUUUGGCACCUCGAUGUCGGCUCAUCACAUCCUGGGGCUGAAGUAGGUCCCAAGGGUAUGGCUGUUCGCCAUUUAAAGUGGUACGCGAGCUGGGUUUAGAACGUCGUGAGACAGUUCGGUCCCUAUCUGCCGUGGGCGCUGGAGAACUGAGGGGGGCUGCUCCUAGUACGAGAGGACCGGAGUGGACGCAUCACUGGUGUUCGGGUUGUCAUGCCAAUGGCACUGCCCGGUAGCUAAAUGCGGAAGAGAUAAGUGCUGAAAGCAUCUAAGCACGAAACUUGCCCCGAGAUGAGUUCUCCCUGACCCUUUAAGGGUCCUGAAGGAACGUUGAAGACGACGACGUUGAUAGGCCGGGUGUGUAAGCGCAGCGAUGCGUUGAGCUAACCGGUACUAAUGAACCGUGAGGCUUAACCU
rnacentral:rRNA from 1 species